AAAUUUGGGCUAAUUCUAACUGAUUUGAGGUCAAAUGGUCAAUAUAUGCACUUAUAUGCUAGAUAUAUGCGCAUGAUUUUAUAAGUAGUACAUACAAGCUAGAAUCCCCUUUCGGGAUUGGGGUAAACCUUUUAUCCCCCCCACCGGAAGGAUUUCUACCUGGUCUAAUUAUAAUUUUUAAGAAAGCCCGUCCGAAUAUACUCUAACCCGCAACUCUCACAUCCCAGCCUUGGCAAAUACCAAAAUUUGGAAGGGUGAAAAUUUAAUGGAUCUCCAACCGGGCUGGCCCUUGGAAUAACCAAGGGCGCAAGGGGGGUUCCAAGAAUCCAUGAAUCCCUGGAUUCCGGAAAUUACAUUUCUUAUCGCAUUUCCCUGCCUUCUUCCUCCAUGCCAGAACCCAAAAAACCCUUGGUGAAAGUUGGAUAAUUUUUAAUUAAAAAAAACUUGUCAAAAAACAAAGUUUCAAUAUGAAAUCGUUCUAUGUAACAUACAAUAAGAGUUAUAUAGGGUGAUCAUAGUUAGGAUUUCUCCUGACUACAGUUGGUUCACAGGUGUAUAUAUUAUAUAGCUCCAGAGUGUGCACAUGCAAUAUUCAUUACCAGCACAACUCCUUCGCAUAUAUGAAUUCAAUAAUGAUCCUUCCGCAGUACCCCACGCGAAGAGAAAGGAACCUUUAUUGGAAAUUCAUAUAUGCGAAGGAAGUUUGUGCGUGGUAAUGAAAUAUGGCAGGUGCACCUCUGGGAGCUAUAUAAUAUAUACACUGUGAACAACUGUAGUCAGGAGAAAUCUAACUAUGAUCACCUAUAUACUCUAUGUAUGUUACAUAGAAAGAUCUAUAUUGGAAACUUUGUUUUUCUGACAGUUCUCUAAUUAAAAAAUAUACACUUCACAACGGAUCUCUGGGCUCUGCAUCGAUAAAAACGCACGAAUGCAUAAGUAAUGUGAAUUGCAAAAUCAGUGAUCUCGAAAUCUUGAACCACCUGCGCUUUGGUAUAUCCGAGGGGGCAUGCGUUUGAAAGAUCAUAACUUCACCUUACAAUUUUGUUAUUGUCAGCUGCAUUGAGAGUGCUGCUAAGUAAUUCUGACUGACUCUUACUUAUAGGACUGUAAGCUCAGAUGUGGAAAAUGUUCACAUACGAAGGGAUCACUGUAGUCACAUUAAAAUGCAAUUCGCAUCGCAUUGAGUGUAUAUCAGGAGGCU
rnacentral:rRNA from 1 species